rnacentral:rRNA from 1 species
CUUCCAGACUCCUACGGGAGGCAGCAGUGGGGAAUAUUGCACAAUGGGGGAAACCCUGAUGCAGCGACGCCGCGUGAGCGAAGAAGUACCUCGGUAUGUAAAGCUCUAUCAGCAGGGAAGAAAGUGACAGUACCUGACUAAGAAGCCCCGGCUAACUACGUGCCAGCAGCCGCGGUAAUACGUAGGGGGCAAGCGUUAUCCGGAUUCACUGGGCGUAAAGGGAGCGUAGACGGCAGCGCAAGUCUGAAGUGAAAUCCCAUGGCUUAACCAUGGAACUGCUUUGGAAACUGUGCAGCUGGAGUGCAGGAGAGGUAAGCGGAAUUCCUAGUGUAGCGGUGAAAUGCGUAGAUAUUAGGAGGAACACCAGUGGCGAAGGCGGCUUACUGGACUGUAACUGACGUUGAGGCUCGAAAGCGUGGGGAGCAAACAGGAUUAGAUACCCCUGUAC